AAAGGGAACGCAGGGCAGAGCGGCCGCUGUGACAGCUAAACUUCAAGUUUGCUGAAGGGGAAACUUCAGCACCGAAUACGACCUUGAACACACACGAAUUAAUCUAACAUGACACGCUCAGGACAGGACAGAAGCCGGCCGGUAAAACAGCACUAGCAGCGGAGAGCGUUUAAAUUGACGGGUAUACAUUAAAGGAAGUAUCCUACACUGAACACCAAAUGCUAAGACAACUACUGCAGCAGCACAUCAUUACCUCCAGUGCCAGCCUGAGUCAGGUGCCCUGGCUGCCUGUGUUUUCUCUCUGAGGAACCAGGGGGCCUUAGUCUUGCAGUGGGACACCCAGCUCUGAGUCUGUCUUCACCCUGAACACUCCAGCCCCAGUCAAGCUGUCCCACCCUGCCUUCACUCC